GUUGUUGCAGUUAAAAAGCUCGUAGUUGAAUUUCGGGGUUAGUAGGUUGGUCAUGCCUCUGGUAUGUACUGGUCUCACUGAUUCCUCCUUCCUUAUGAACCGUAAUGCCAUUAAUUUGGUGUUGCGGGGAAUUUGGACUGUUACUUUGAAAAAAUUAGAGUGUUUAAAGCAAGCUAACGCUUGAAUACAUUAGCAUGGAAUAAUGAAAUAGGACAUCCGAUUCUAUUUUGUUGGUUUCUAGGAUCGAUGUAAUGAUUAAUAGGGAUAGUUGGGGGCAUUAGUAUUCAAUUGUCAGAGGUGAAAUUCUUGGAUUUAUUGAAGACUAACUACUGCGAAAGCAUUUGCCAAGGAUGUUUUCAUUAAUCAAGAACGAAAGUUAGGGGAUCGAAGACGAUCAGAUACCGUCGUAGUCUUAACCAUAAACUAUGCCGACUAGGGAUCGGAUGAUGUUAAUUUUUUAAUGACUCAUUCGGCGCCUUACGGGAAAC
rnacentral:rRNA from 1 species